GAGUUUGAUCCUGGCUCAGAUUGAACGCUGGCGGCAUGCCUUACACAUGCAAGUCGAACGGCAGCACGGGAGCUUGCUCCUGGUGGCGAGUGGCGAACGGGUGAGUAAUGCAUCGGAACGUAUCCUGGAGUGGGGGAUAACGUAGCGAAAGUUACGCUAAUACCGCAUAUUCUGUGAGCAGGAAAGCGGGGGACCUUCGGGCCUCGCGCUCUUGGAGCGGCCGAUGUCGGAUUAGCUAGUUGGUGAGGUAAAGGCUCACCAAGGCGACGAUCCGUAGCAGGUCUGAGAGGAUGAUCUGCCACACUGGAACUGAGACACGGUCCAGACUCCUACGGGAGGCAGCAGUGGGAAUUUGGACAAUGGGGCAACCCUGAUCCAGCCGUGCCGCGUGAGUGAAGAAGGCCU
rnacentral:rRNA from 1 species